rnacentral:lncRNA from 1 species
CUACAGUUUAGGUGCUUUUCAUGUUUGCAAUGCUUUGGGUGGUUAUGCUUCUGAUUCCCCCUUUAGAUAGUAGCAUUUUCUGUUUUGUCUAAUGAGUCAGGUCUCGUUAUUUGUCUUUUACUGACUUGGAUUAAUUUCAUUUCAUUUAGGGAACAAUUGGCCUGCAAGAUGGUGACCCAUUGGUAAGAUAGUUGUCCACAUUUAAAAUAAUCUCAGGCAACCUUAUUCAACCUAUGUGGUACUAAUUAUGUGGAUGCUUCUCCAGUGUCCCAAUGCUUGUCCACUUGGCCGCCCAGGACAUGCUGGCUUAAUGGGAAUGAAGGGACAGAAAGGUUCAAAAGGAGAGUCUGGUGAACCAGGAAAACAAGGUUAUAAGGUAAAAAAAAAAGCUUAAGAGGAAAAAUUGCUGUUGUUUUUAGCAAGCUAAUAGUAGUUUAGCCUUUUAUUCAAAAACAGUUAGAACUAUUAAUUGUUUUACCAGAAUACAUG